rnacentral:lncRNA from 1 species
CCCCAGAAGGCCACCACCUCUGCGCAAACAACUGCGGAUUCUUCGGCAGCCCGGCCACCAUGAACCUCUGCUCCAAAUGCUACAGAGACUUCUGCCUCAAGGAGCAGCAGCAGGCGUCGAUCAAAUCCACCGUCGAAGCCUCCCUCUCCGCCUCCGCUGCCGAUGCCGCUUCUUCCUCUCUCUCCGCUCCUUCUUCCCCUCCUUCAACAUCCUUGCCUGCCUCUCCGGCAGCGAUCGAGACUCUCUGCCAACCUCCGCCCCCGGCCUUGACUUUGCCGGAGGUAGCCGGAGAUAUAAUCGGUGAGCCCGCUGAAGUUGUUCGGGCUCCUGAGGUGGCUACGGUGGUGUCGCAGCCGAACCGGUGCACCGUUUGCAGGAAACGGGUCGGGUUGACCGGGUUC